rnacentral:rRNA from 1 species
CCCUUAGAGUUUGAUCCUGGCUCAGGAUCAACGCUGGCGGCGUGCCUAACGCAUGUAAGUCGAACGCAGUGUCCUUCGGGACGCUGAGUGGCGAACGGCUGAGGAACACGUACGAACCUGCCCGCUUGUGGGGAAUAACUCACCGAAAGGUGAGCUAAUACCGCGUACGAUCACAGCGCAAGCUGGGAUGAAAGUCGCAAGACGCUGGCGGAGGGGCGUGCGGCCCAUCAGGUCGUUGGUGGGGUAAUGGCCUACCAAGCCUGUGACGGGUAGCUGGUCUGUGAGGACGAUCAGCCAGACUGGGACUGCGACACGGCCCAGACCCCUACGGGGGGCAGCAAUUAGGAAUAUUUCGCAAUGGGGGAAACCCUGACGGAGCGACGCCGCGUGCAGGAGGAAGGCCUUCGGGUUGUAAACUGCUUUUCUCUGUGACGAUUAUGACGGUA